rnacentral:tRNA from 1 species
CCUGGUGGCUCAGACGGUAAAGCAUCUGCCUACAAUGCAGGAAACCUGGGUUCAAUCCCUGGGCCAGGA